AAUGAACGUUGGCGGCAUGGAUUAGGCAUGCAAGUCGAGCGAGAAGGAAAUCAAAGUUUACUUUGGUUUCCGGAAAGCGGCGAAAGGGAGAGUAACGCGUAGUUAUCUACCCCAAGGCCCGGAAUAGCUGCGGGAAACUGCAGGUAAUGCCGGAUAAUAUCCCCGGAUCAAAGGUGUGAUUCCGCCUUGGGAGGAGACUGCGUUGUACUAGCUUGUUGGUAGGGUAAUGGCCUACCAAGGCUACGAUGCAUAGCGGGCGUGAGAGCGUGGCCCGUCUCACUGGGACUGAAACACUGCCCAGACACCUACGGGUGGCUGCAGUCGAGAAGCUUCGGCAAUGGGCGAAAGCCUGACCGAGCGAUGCCGCGUGCGGGAUGAAGGCCCUCGGGUUGUAAACCGCUGUCGUAGGGGAGAAAGGACCGUUGAAGAGACGGUUUUGAUCUAUCCUAGGAGGAAGUCCGGGCUAAGUUCGUGCCAGCCGCCGCUGUAACAC
rnacentral:rRNA from 1 species